GACGAACGCUGGCGGCGUGCCUAAUACAUGCAAGUAGAACGCUGAAGAGAGGAGCUUGCUCUUCUUGGAUGAGUUGCGAACGGGUGAGUAACGCGUAGGUAACCUGCCUUGUAGCGGGGGAUAACUAUUGGAAACGAUAGCUAAUACCGCAUAACAAUGGAUGACACAUGUCAUUUAUUUGAAAGGGGCAAUUGCUCCACUACAAGAUGGACCUGCGUUGUAUUAGCUAGUAGGUGAGGUAAUGGCUCACCUAGGCGACGAUACAUAGCCGACCUGAGAGGGUGAUCGGCCACACUGGGACUGAGACACGGCCCAGACUCCUACGGGAGGCAGCAGUAGGGAAUCUUCGGCAAUGGGGGCAACCCUGACCGAGCAACGCCGCGUGAGUGAAGAAGGUUUUCGGAUCGUAAAGUUCUGUUGUAAGUCAAGAACGGGUGUGAGAGUGGAAAGUUCACACUGUGACGGUAGCUGACCAGAAAGGGACGGCUAACUACGUG
rnacentral:rRNA from 1 species